rnacentral:rRNA from 1 species
GACAGAGGGUGCAAACGUUGUUCGGAAUUACUGGGCGUAAAGCGUGUGUAGGCGGUCUCAUAAGUCGGAUGUGAAAGCCCCGGGCUCAACCCGGGAAGUGCAUUCGAAACUGCGAGGCUAGAGUAUCGGAGAGGUUGGUGGAAUUCUCGGUGUAGAGGUGAAAUUCGUAGAUAUCGAGAGGAACACCGGUGACGAAGGCGGCCAACUGGACGAAUACUGACGCUGAGACACGAAAGCGUGGGGAGCAAACAGG